rnacentral:rRNA from 1 species
AUUGAACGCUGGCGGCAUGCCUUACACAUGCGAGUCGAACGGCAGCACGGGAGCAAUCCUGGUGGCGAGUGGCGAACGGGUGAGUAAUAUAUCGGAACGUGCCCGGUCGUGGGGAUAACGUAGCGAAAGCUACGCUAAUACCGCAUACGAUCUACGGAUGAAAGCGGGGGAUCGCAAGACCUCGCGCGAUUGGAGCGGCCGAUAUCAGAUUAGGUAGUUGGUGAGGUAAAGGCUCACCAAGCCGACGAUCUGUAGCUGGUCUGAGAGGACGACCAGCCACACUGGGACUGAGACACGGCCCAGACUCCUACGGGAGGCAGCAGUGGGGAAUUUUGGACAAUGGGCGCAAGCCUGAUCCAGCAAUGCCGCGUGCAGGAUGAAGGCC